GCCCGUCUCGGGAUGGCACCUGGAGAGUUUCCAGUCCUCUACCAGUCUCGGCUACUACGGGAGGGAGAGUCAAGCAGAGGCCUGUCCAUUCCACUCCUAGCUUGGGCGGUGGCUAGUGAGUGGAAGGCAAUCUGCUACAGGU